rnacentral:lncRNA from 10 species
ACAGUUGAAAUAACUCCUUCGUGGAGGCUGGCUACAUUUUCACAACGUCUGGUCCCAAGCUAGAUCUUCGGGAAAAGGGAUCAAGGAAAUGACUAUUCCUCCAAAUAAAAUGCUGCACAUCUUUCAUGGAUUCUGGUCCACCUCGUCCUCACGCGGGGAUGCAGACUGACAAGCUUCCACCAUGAAGGGUUGUCAUUUGCCAUAGCAGGGAGAGGAAAAUGGAGCAAAUCAGUCACCAGCUCGUCAUACAGAAGAGUGUCCCACGUCAUAUCUGCUGAUAUGUUAUGGCCAAAGUACAUGACUAUCUCCAAGGAGCUGAGAGGUGAAAUUCGGACAUUUGUCUGGACGGAGUAGAACCAAGAGAGUCGUAAACAUCCUGUGGACUACACACCGUUUAACAAGAUGCAACAGUAUUCUGGCUUUGCCUUUCCUGGAGCCCUUAAACAGGCUGAAGUGAAAAGCACCAUGACCUGUCACUACAAGACGAGAAGCCUCAGGAGAAGGAAGGAGAUCCCUUUUCAUUGGUUUUGCCGAGUUUCCCGAGCUCCAUCCUCCUACAGUUAAAUCAACACUCUUUAUCCUUAGACUGCUGAUAAUCUCACCAACCGCUUCCUGGUAAGAUCUGUAAUGCGUGAGGUCUUCCUUCUUAGUUGUUUGCAAACAUCAGUGAUUAGGGACAAUUAGGGACUGGUGUGCCUGUCAUUCUUCUCCUUUCAGCUGAGGAGGAAAUCCUCAUGCACCGUUAUCGGGAGUGAGACUUCAUCUGUCAGCUGCAGUCUCAGGAAUCCACGGGUUCAUUCAGUCGCAACUCUAAUCUCACUAACUUUAUCUGUGUUCCUCAAAUGCCUUAGACUAUUUGCUUCCCACUGAUAGGGAAACCUGACAUCUCAUUUUCUCAGUGUCCAGACAAAGAUUCGUACAUAGCAAGAAACUAAGAUAGGUGUUACAGAACAUGGAGGGAACCAGGAAAACCAAAUAGAGGACCCCCUUCAUGGGGCUUCCAACACGACAAUAGGCAAAAGAGAAGAAACAUACAUGUAAGAGACAAGCAAAACCCAGAACCAUCACUUAUGAAGGAUGUCCUCAUCACCCUCUUUUGCUGCCUGUCAAAACCGGUGAGGGCUCAUAUGACACCUUAAUUAUGAAUUAAUCUUCGUUCCUCCUACACCAGCACUUCCCCUCACCCCAGUCGAAGCCAUCU